rnacentral:rRNA from 1 species
CUGCGGCGGAUUAGCUAGUUGGUGGGGUAACGGCCUACCAAGGCGAUGAUCCGUAGGGGGCGUGAGAGCGUGGCCCCCCACACUGGCACUGAGAUACGGGCCAGACUCCUACGGGAGGCAGCAGUGAGGAAUAUUGCACAAUGGGCGCAAGCCUGAUGCAGCAACGCCGCGUGCGGGACGAAGGCCUUCGGGUCGUAAACCGCUUUUCUGGGGGACGAGUAAGGACGGUACCUCAGGAAUAAGUCUCGGCUAACUACGUGCCAGCAGCCGCGGUAAAACGUAGGAGGCGAGCGUUAUCCGGAUUUACUGGGCGUAAAGCGUACGCAGGUGGCUUCGUGAGUCGGACAUGAAAGCUCCCGGCUUAACUGGGAGAGGUUGUUCGAUACUGCGAGGCUUGAGGUUGGGAGAGGGACGUGGAAUUCCCGGUGUAGUGGUGGAAUGCGUAGAUAUCGGGAGGAACACCAGUGGCGCAAGCGGCGUCCUGGCCCACACCUGACGCUGAGGUACGAAAGCGUGGGUAGCAAACAGGAUUAGAUACCCUGGUAGUCCACGCUGUAAACGAUGUCAACUGGGUGUCGGUAGUUUUACACUAUCGGUGCCGAAGCCAACGCG